rnacentral:tRNA from 4 species
GCACCCGUAGCUCAGCUGGAUAGAGUGUUGGAUUCCGAUUCCAAAGGUCACAGGUUCGAAUCCUGUCGGGUGCACCA